rnacentral:rRNA from 1 species
ACCUGCGGAAGGAUCAUUACCGAGUGCGGGCCCUCGCGGCCCAACCUCCCACCCGUGUCUCUCUCUACCUGUUGCUUUGGCGGGCCCACCGGGGCCACCCGGUCGCCGGGGGACGUCCGUCUCCGGGCCCGCGCCCGCCGAAGCGCCCUGUGAACCCUGAUGAAGAUGGGCUGUCUGAGUCGCAUGAAAAUUGUCAAAACUUUCAACAAUGGAUCUCUUGGUUCCGGCAUCGAUGAAGAACGCAGCGAAAUGCGAUAAGUAAUGUGAAUUGCAGAAUUCCGUGAAUCAUCGAAUCUUUGAACGCACAUUGCGCCCCCUGGCAUUCCGGGGGGCAUGCCUGUCCGAGCGUCAUUUCUGCCCUCAAGCGCGGCUUGUGUGUUGGGCGUGGUCCCCCCGGGGACCUGCCCGAAAGGCAGCGGCGACGUCCGUCCGGUCCUCGAGCGUAUGGGGCUCUGUCACUCGCUCGGGACGGAUCGGCGGAGGUUGGUCACCACCACAGUUUUACCACGGUUGACCUCGGAUCAGGUAGGAGUUACCCGCUGAACUUAAGCAUAUCAAUAA